GUUCAUUGAAGAAGACAUUGUAGAGUCUUCUGAUGACAGUGAUGGGGAAGAAAUGGCAAUCAACAGUGUUGUUGUCACGGAAGAAGUUGACCGAGUUUACUAGUAAAAGCUUGCUGUUAGCUAGCCAGAUGAAGUUUGAUGGCUGGCUUGCAAGCUAACAUUGAACCUAUAUGGUUAACUUUAGCUAGCAAUGACAAUAGCAUCAGUAGAAUAAGACGGACUCUCCUCCACUAGUCAUACAAGGAGAAUAGUCUAAUGCCUCCCAUCAAAAAGAGAGCUGGCCUAAGCAAGCACAGGUGACACCUGAAGCAUGAGGACUUGCAGAGUGGUGAACUUCAUCAACAACUACACAGAGGAUAAUGCAAUAGCAUUUCCAGGAUGCCACCCAGGACACAAACACUUUGGUGGAAAGCUGCUGCGAUCCCAUGUGACAAAAGCAGCAGUGUGGCGUCUCUAAAAGGAUUCGAUGACAAUACUUGUAUUUUCCAGCGAUACGUGUAGUCGGGCUGUCUUCCUUCAUGGAUCUGUGGAGAAAAUUGCUGCCCCACAUCUCGAGCAAUAAGACCAGGACAGACCUGUACUGGCAGUGUCAGAUGAACAACUAUCAGGUCUUCAGAUCUGCCAAUCUCCCAGAAGCUGUUAAAUCAGCCAAGUUGAAGAAGCAAGAUCAGCAUCUCCUGCUUGUUCAGAGUGAG
rnacentral:lncRNA from 1 species